rnacentral:rRNA from 1 species
GCCAAGCGCGUCUUCAUUAAUCAAGAACGAAAGUCAGAGGUUCGAAGGCGAUCAGAUACCGCCCUAGUUCUGACCGUAAACGAUGCCAACUAGCGAUCCGCCGGUGGCUUCUUGGCCCUGGUGGGGAGCUUCCCGGAAACGAAAGUCUUCCGGUUCCGGGGGAAGUAUGGUUGCAAAGCUGAAACUUAAAGGAAUUGACGGAAGGGCACCACCAGGAGUGGAGCCUGCGGCUUAAUUUGACUCAACACGGGAAAACUCACCCGGCCCGGACACCGUAAGGAUUGACAGAUUGAUAGCUUUUUCAUGAUUCGGUGGUUGGUGGUGCAUGGCCGUUCUUAGUUCGUGGAUCGAUUUGUCUGGUUUAUUCCGAUAACGAGCGAGACUCCAGCCUACUAAAUAGUGUGGGCAUUGCCUCUGUGCUUCUCACUUCUUAGAGGGAUUGGCUGCGUCUAGCGGCACGAAACGGAGCAAUAACAGGUCUGUGAUGCCCUUAGAUGUCCGGGGCUGCACGCGCGCUACACUGGCAAAGGCAGCGUGCUUGUCCUUCUCCGAAAGGAGCGGGUAAACCCUUGAAAAUUUGCCGUGAUUGGGAUCGGAAAUUGCAAUUAUUUUCCGUGAACGAGGAAUUCCUAGUAAGUGCGAGUCAUCAGCUCGCGUUGAUUACGUCCCUGCCCUUUGUACACACCGCCCGUCGCUGCCUAGAACUGAGCCAUUUCGAGAAUAUUCGGGAUCGCUGGUUGCGGGCCCUCACAGGCACGCCUCCGGCCGGAGAACGAACGUAAUCGCAGUGGCUUGAACCGGGCAAAAGU